UAAACGAUAUACCACGAAAAAUCUUACUUAUUUUAAAUAGUUUGUAUACCGUCAUUAUUAGAUAAUUUUUAGAGGAAAAAUUAUUUAAAUUAAUAAAAUUAAAUAUAUUAGAUCAAGGUGCAGCUUAUAAAUAAGAAUAAAUGGGUUACAAUAAGUUAGUUGUAUUUUUAAUUUAACAA
rnacentral:rRNA from 1 species